AUUGAACGCUGGCGGCAGGCCUAACACAUGCAAGUCGAGCGGAUGAAGGGAGCUUGCUCCUGGAUUCAGCGGCGGACGGGUGAGUAAUGCCUAGGAAUCUGCCUGGUAGUGGGGGAUAACGUCCGGAAACGGGCGCUAAUACCGCAUACGUCCUGAGGGAGAAAGUGGGGGAUCUUCGGACCUCACGCUACCAGAUGAGCCUAGGUCGGAUUAGCUAGUUGGUGGGGUAAAGGCCUACCAAGGCGACGAUCCGUAACUGGUCUGAGAGGAUGAUCAGUCACACUGGAACUGAGACACGGUCCAGACUCCUACGGGAGGCAGCAGUGGGGAAAAUUGGACAAUGGGCGAAAGCCUGAUCCAGCCAUGCCGCGUGUGUGAAGAAGGUCUUCGGAUUGUAAAGCACUUUAAGUUGGGAGGAAGGGCAGUAAGUUAAUACCUUGCUGUUUUGACGUUACCAACAGAAUAAGCACCGGCUAACUUCGUG
rnacentral:rRNA from 1 species